rnacentral:lncRNA from 1 species
CAAGGUCUUUCAGAGGAAGGGAACCAUGCCAAUGCCUCAUUAUUAUUAAUGAAUAAUAAUAGCUUAUAUUUAUAUGACACUUCACGGUUUACAAGAUAUAUUACAUUCAGUCUAAUUUUAUCUUCAGCAACCUUGUGAGGGAGAAAGAACAUGUUUUGUUAUUGCCAUUAUUCAAUCGAGGAAAAUAAAACGAGGAGGUGUAAAGUGAUUUGUCCAUACAAGCAAUUUGUAAGUGUAUCAAUGCAUUAUGGUGUGGAAGCUGCUGGAUUCCUGCGGUGUUUCAUUCAUGACAACGGUGAUGGCUAUUUGAAUCAACAUAAAUGAAGGAUCACUAAAGGCAAUCCAGAAAUUCAACAGCUGCUUAACUGCUGACUAUAUUACUACAUUCAGGAUGUUCCACUACCAAAGAAGAAGGCAAUCUUGCUUUACAGUCCCACCCAGAGUGCUGACUUCCACUUGAGUUGUAUCCAAUCAUGGUUUUUAUUGUAAAGGAAACCCAUGAAAUUCCAUCCAAGGAGAGCUGCUCUGAGGAUGGAUGGUUAUUCUCCUUGGCAUCACAUUACUGAUUAAAGUAAGCUGGAUUCUCCUGCCUACCUCUCUUACAAAGCUCAGUCAUUUAAGGUAGUUGAAUUCUCUGUUAAAACUUUGCAAGUUGAUUAAUAGUCAAAUUAUAAAGAAUCUUCAUCUGCACCAACUUAAUGCAAUGUUGCAUAUUUUAUUCUGUUUUUCUAUGUCUCUUAACCCCCAAAAGAAAGAGAAAACUUCCAUCUCAACUCUAUUUCUGGGAGAUACAAUCCUAAAUUGAUCCAGUGAUAUCCUUGUUUCUCUUGGCACACCAUUCUAGCUAUUCUGAGUCCUAGUCCUAUGAAGAUAAACUGAUGAUAAGUCUUAAGCUGUCAUAGAGAAGGAAAUCCAUAUACCUAGUUACCAUUUAAUCAUUGUGACAAGAUUUAUUCUGACAUAUUGCCUUUCCAAUUAGGAAAAAAAAUAGGAAAAUGUACUAAGGACCAAUGAAUGAAUAUAUUUUUCCUGACAAACUUUCACUUCAAUCCUUCCUAGUCUAUGAAUGGAGACAAUGACUAAUAAUCUCUUCUGUCCUUUUUGUGGGGGAAAGGGGUAUGGAUGCUUUCAGCUCCUGAAGAGGAACUGUUUUCAUCCUUAAUUGAUUAUGGGGAAAUGAGGCAUUUAAAGAAUUUCAAAUUCAACUCUGUUUUUUUUCCAGUUGCUAAUUUAACCCUGGAAAUGAACUAAGGCUGGAGGAUUCUUGUCCUAAUCUUAGAUAGCCAUAGUCUUCCCUUCUUCAUUGAGUUUCCUUUCCUAAAUG